rnacentral:tRNA from 2 species
GCCGGAGUGGUGGAACUGGUAGACGCGCUGCGUUCAGGGCGCAGUGGGCGCAAGCCCGUGGGGGUUCGAGUCCCCCCUUCGGCA